GGAACGAACGCUGGCGGCAUGCCUAACACAUGCAAGUCGAACGAGACCUUCGGGUCUAGUGGCGCACGGGUGCGUAACGCGUGGGAACCUGCCCUUAGGUUCGGAAUAACAGUUAGAAAUGACUGCUAAUACCGGAUAAUGUCUUCGGACCAAAGAUUUAUCGCCUAUGGAUGGGCCCGCGUUGGAUUAGCUAGUUGGUGGGGUAAAG
rnacentral:rRNA from 1 species